rnacentral:rRNA from 1 species
AGUGAACGCUGGCGGUAGGCCUAACACAUGCAAGUCGAACAGCAGCACAGUAAGAGCUUGCUCUUACGGGUGGCGAGUGGCGGACGGGUGAGGAAUACAUCGGAAUCUACUUUUUCGUGGGGGAUAACGUAGGGAAACUUACGCUAAUACCGCAUACGACCUACGGGUGAAAGCAGGGGAUCUUCGGACCUUGCGCGAUUGAAUGAGCCGAUGUCGGAUUAGCUAGUUGGCGGGGUAAAGGCCCACCAAGGCGACGAUCCGUAGCUGGUCUGAGAGGAUGAUCAGCCACACUGGAACUGAGACACGGUCCAGACUCCUACGGGAGGCAGCAGUGGGGAAUAUUGGACAAUGGGCGCAAGCCUGAUCCAGCCAUACCGCGUGGGUGAAGAAGGCCUUCAGGUUGUAAAGCCCUUUUGUUGGGAAAGAAAAGCAGCAGGUUAAUACCCCGCUGUUCUGACGGUACCCAAAGAAUAAGCACCGGCUAACUUCGUG